rnacentral:rRNA from 1 species
UGCGAGCGAACAGGGAAGAGCCCAGCACCGAAUCCCGCGGCCGAUAUCGGACGCCGGGAAAUGUGGUGUUAGGGAGGAUCCGUUUAUCCCGAGGUCGUGCGGUGCGUCCAAGUCCUUCUUGAACGGGGCCACAGCCCAUAGAGGGUGCCAGGCCCGUAGUGACCGCUGCCGAUCGCGGGAGGAUCUCUCCUCAGAGUCGGGUUGCUUGAGAGUGCAGCCCUAAGUGGGUGGUAAACUCCAUCUAAGGCUAAAUAUGACCACGAGACCGAUAGCGAACAAGUACCGUGAGGGAAAGUUGAAAAGCACUUUGAAGAGAGAGUUCAAGAGUACGUGAAACCGUUCAGGGGUAAACCUGAGAAGCCCGAAAGGUCGAAUGGGGAAAUUCAUUCGCGUUUCGGCCGUCGGCGUUGGAUGGUCGCGUGACGGAUGGCGUACGCGUCGUCCGCGCCUUUCGUCCUUCGAACCGGCGUCGAACGCGUGCACUUUUCCCCUAGUAGGACGUCGCGAUCCGUUGGGUGUCGGUCUACGGCUCGCGGUGGAGCCCGUGCGGUCGUUUCGGCGUAUCGCACGGACCCGCGGUGUCCCGGCCGACUCGCUCGACGGUAUACAGAUGGCGCGGGGCCGCUACACAGUUAGCGUUCGAC